UUGGCAACCAGGAAUUUCAAUGUGACCGUUCUGACUGAAGAGCUGAUAUUCCGGUACUUACCAGACGAGCUGUCUGACAGGAAGAGGGUCUAUGAUGAAGAGAUGUCAGAACUGUCCCAUCUGACCAGAGACGUGCCCAUCUUCGUGUGUGCUAUGGCCUUCCCCACGGUUCCCUGCCCUCUCCAUGUGUUCGAGCCCCGCUACCGGCUCAUGAUAAGGAGAUGCAUGGAAACUGGCACCAAGCGAUUUGGCAUGUGUUUAUCCGCGGAGAACGCAGGGUAUUUCAGAGUAUGGCUGCAUGCUGGAGAUAAAGGACGUGAGGACUUUUCCUGAUGGGAGCUCUGUCGUGGAUGCAGUUGGGAUUAGCCGCUUCAGGGUCCUAAGCCACCGCCACCGAGAUGGCUACAACACCGCGGACAUCGAGUACCUGGA
rnacentral:lncRNA from 1 species